CUGUCCCCGCCGCUGGUGCCGUCGCAGCCCCGAGCGAAUUCCUGUUCGGGGGACGUCGCGACCGGCCGGCACGGCGCGCUCAGGCUCCGCACUGCCACUCCUGCGGGUCGCCCUCCCCGCGGGCGCGCAGACGGCGCGGGGACACACGGACCCCCAGGACCCCGCGAGCGCGGAACGCGCCGCAGCCCAGCGUGAGAGCCCUCCGGCCUGGGGCAGAUGUUUGUGCCUCGAGAGAGGGAUCAUCAAGACUGUAUG
rnacentral:lncRNA from 1 species